GACGAACGCUGGCGGCGCGCUUAACACAUGCAAGUCGAGCGAAGCGGCGGACGGGUGAGUAACACGUGAGUAACCUGCCUUAGACAUUGGGAUAGCCUCGGGAAACCGGGAUUAAUACCAAAUGGUCUAAGAUGGACUCGCGUCCCAUUAGCUAGUUGGUGUGUAACGGCCAACCAAGGAGACGAUGGGUAGCCGGCCUGAGAGGGUGAACGUGCACAUUUGAACUUAGAAACGGUCCAAACUCUACGGUAGGCAGCAGUGGUGAAUAUUGCACAAUGGAGGGAACUCUGAUGCAGCGACGCCGCGUGAACGAAGAAGGCUUUCGAGUCGUAAAGUUCUUUUAUAUGGGAAGCGGUACCAUAAGAAAAAGCCCCGGCUAACUACGUGCCAGCAGCCGCGGUAAUUC
rnacentral:rRNA from 1 species